rnacentral:rRNA from 1 species
GACGAACGCUGGCGGCGUGCUUAACACAUGCAAGUCGAACGGAAAGGCCCUGCUUUUGUGGGGUGCUCGAGUGGCGAACGGGUGAGUAACACGUGAGUAACCUGCCCUUGACUUUGGGAUAACUUCAGGAAACUGGGGCUAAUACCGGAUAGGAGCUCCUGCUGCAUGGUGGGGGUUGGAAAGUUUCGGCGGUUGGGGAUGGACUCGCGGCUUAUCAGCUUGUUGGUGGGGUAGUGGCUUACCAAGGCUUUGACGGGUAGCCGGCCUGAGAGGGUGACCGGCCACAUUGGGACUGAGAGACGGCCCAGACUCCUACGGGAGGCAGCAGUGGGGAAUAUUGCACAAUGGGCGGAAGCCUGAUGCAGCAACGCCGCGUGCGGGAUGACGGCCUUCGGGUUGUAAACCGCUGUCGCAUGUGACGAAGCGUGAGUGACGGUAAUGGGUAAAGAAGCACCGGCUAACUACGUG